rnacentral:rRNA from 1 species
AGUGAACGCUGGCGGUAGGCCUAACACAUGCAAGUCGAACGGCAGCACAGUAAGAGCUUGCUCUUACGGGUGGCGAGUGGCGGACGGGUGAGGAAUACAUCGGAAUCUACUUUUUCGUGGGGGAUAACGUAGGGAAACUUACGCUAAUACCGCAUACGACCUACGGGUGAAAGCAGGGGAUCUUCGGACCUUGCGCGAUUGAAUGAGCCGAUGUCGGAUUAGCUAGUUGGCGGGGUAAAGGCCCACCAAGGCGACGAUCCGUAGCUGGUCUGAGAGGUUGAUCAGCCACACUGGAACUGAGACACGGUCCAGACUCCUACGGGAGGCAGCAGUGGGGAAUAUUGGACAAUGGGCGCAAGCCUGAUCCAGCCAUACCGCGUGGGUGAAGAAGGCCUUCGGGUUGUAAAGCCCUUUUGUUGGGAAAGAAGAGCAGCAGGUUAAUACCCCGCUGUUCUGACGGUACCCAAAGAAUAAGCACCGGCUAACUUCGUG